GCUGUUCUCAUGAUAGUGAGUAAGUUAUUGCAAGAUCUGGUGGUUUUAUAAAGGGUUAUUCCUUCUUUGCUCAGCACUUCUUCCUGCUGCCAUGUGAAGAAGAACAUAUUUGCUUCCCCUUCUGCCAUGACUCAGAAAGGUCAGCCCCCUGCUGCAAGUUCUUAGAUUCCCGGAGGAUCUGCAGAGUCAACAUUAGGAGUAUCCGUCCAUUCACCAAGGCCAUCAGGAAUGUGCUGCCCCAGGAACAAUCAGAAACCAAGAGAUGGGAAUGAAGAGGGUGAGUGAUCUGGAGUCCUGAGGUGGGUGCCCCACAUGCUCCAGCGUUGUUUUUCCUUUUAAUUGUGCCAUCCUGGUGCACUGGAAUUUUCAUCUCAAAAGCUGUCAUUUGGUGUUGGUGGGAAGACAUUUUAAAGGUUCUAGAUGGUUUUGGUGAAACUCAGUUAAAUUGGACUCAGAUUAAUUUGGUUUAUCUGAAAUAUGAAAGGUAGAUUCAAAGUUUUAAAUUUGAGGAAAAGCAUGGUUUCUCCCCCAUCACUUUCUGCAUGACCUAUGACAUAUAAGCUUUUUGUUGUGAAUAAGCCGUUGGGUUUUGUUCUAAUCAGACCCACUCAAUGGUCAUAGUUCCUCUUUCUUAAGUUUUUUAAGGUCUUAGUUAAUAAAAUGCUUUAUUUGUUCUUUUUCAUAAAAAAAUUA
rnacentral:sRNA from 1 species